rnacentral:rRNA from 1 species
AAAGUUAAACGGCCGCGGUAUCCUGACCGUGCAAAGGUAGCAUAAUCACUUGUUCCUUAAUUAGGGACUAGCAUGAAUGGCUGAACGAGGGUUCAACUGUCUCUUAUUCUUAAUCAGUGAAAUUGACCUUCCAGUGAAGAGGCUGGAAUAAUGAAAUAAGACGAGAAGACCCUAUGGAGCUUUAAUUAACUGGCUUAAUUAUUAGAAUCUAACCUAAUGGAUCAACAAAAAAAAAUAUAAGCUAGUAAUUUCGGUUGGGGUGACCUCGGAGAAUAAAAAAUCCUCCGAAUGAUUUUAACAUAGACUGACCAGUCGAAGUAACAUUUAAAAUCUUAUUGAUCCAAAACCAUUUGAUCAACGGACCAAGUUACCCUAGGGAUAACAGCGCAAUCCUAUUUAAGAGUUCAUAUCGACAAUUAGGGUUUACGACCUCGAUGUUGGAUCAGGACAUCCCAA